rnacentral:lncRNA from 1 species
GUAUUUUGUUUUAUAACUGUUAUUUAUCGAAAAAUAAAAAUACUAUAACAUGGUGUGAGACCCCGGGUAGUCCUAUAUAUAAGAUAUAAUAGGGCUAAACUCUUAACCCGGCUUAAGCAUUUGGGUGAUAGCUAGACCUAAGAGGUUAAGAGAGUUAAGCGUGCUAGGACGGGAGUAGUCCUAGGAUGGGUGACCCCCUGGGAAGUUGGGGAGUCACAGAUGGUAUCAGAGCCAAUUACCAGCCGGAAGUGUGAGAUG